UACAUAGGGGGCAAGCGUUAUCCGGAAUUAUUGGGCGUAAAGCGUGCGUAGGCGGUUUAUUAAGUCUGGUGUGAAAUUUUACAGCUUAACUGUAAAGGGUCAUUGGAAACUGGUAAACUUGAGUACGGUAGGGGCAAGUGGAAUUCCAAGUGGAGCGGUGGAAUGCGUAGAUAUUUGGAGGAACACCAGUAGCGAAGGCGGCUUGCUGGGCCGGAACUGACGCUGAGGCACGAGAGCGUGGGGAGCAAAC
rnacentral:rRNA from 1 species